rnacentral:rRNA from 1 species
UACGUAGGGGCCUAGCGUUGUCCGGAAUUAUUGGGCGUAAAGAGCUCGUAGGCGGUCUGUCACGUCGGCUGUGAAAUCCCGAGGCUCAACCUCGGGUCUGCAGUCGAUACGGGCAAACUAGAGUAUUGCAGGGGAGACUGGAAUUCCUGGUGUAGCGGUGAAAUGCGCAGAUAUCAGGAGGAACACCGGUGGCGAAGGCGGGUCUCUGGGCAAUAACUGACGCUGAGGAGCGAAAGCGUGGGGAGCGAACAGG